ACUCCUACGGGAGGCAGCAGUGGGGAAUAUUGCACAAUGGGCGCAAGCCUGAUGCAGCCAUGCCGCGUGUGUGAAGAAGGCCUUCGGGUUGUAAAGCACUUUCAGUUGUGAGGAAGGUGGUGUCGUUAAUAGCGGCAUCAUUUGACGUUAGCAACAGAAGAAGCACCGGCUAACUCCGUGCCAGCAGCCGCGGUAAUACGGAGGGUGCGAGCGUUAAUCGGAAUUACUGGGCGUAAAGCGCAUGCAGGUGGUUGUUAAGUCAGAUGUGAAAGCCCGGGGCUCAACCUCGGAACUGCAUUUGAAACUGGCAGACUAGAGUACUGUAGAGGGGGUAGAAUUUCAGGUGUAG
rnacentral:rRNA from 1 species